AUUGGACGCUGGCGGCGUGCCUUACACAUGCAAGUCGAACGGUAACAGGUCUUCGGAUGCUGACGAGUGGCGAACGGGUGAGUAAUACAUCGGAACGUGCCUAGUAGUGGGGGAUAACUACUCGAAAGAGUGGCUAAUACCGCAUGAGAUCUACGGAUGAAAGCAGGGGAUCGCCAGACCUUGUGCUACUAGAGCGGCCGAUGGCAGAUUAGGUAGUUGGUGGGAUAAAAGCUUACCAAGCCGACGAUCUGUAGCUGGUCUGAGAGGACGAUCAGCCACACUGGGACUGAGACACGGCCCAGACUCCUACGGGAGGCAGCAGUGGGGAAUUUUGGACAAUGGGCGCAAGCCUGAUCCAGCAAUGCCGCGUGCAGGAUGAAGGCCUUCGGGUUGUAAACUGCUUUUGUACGGAACGAAAAGCCCCGGGUUAAUACCCUGGGGUCAUGACGGUACCGUAAGAAUAAGCACCGGCUAACUACGUGCCAGCAGCCGCAGUAA
rnacentral:rRNA from 1 species